GGUUCAUGGAUGUUUUUCAUGUGACUGAUGUAAACGGAAAUAAAUUGACAGACGAGAGCGUUAUUAACUACAUUGAACAGUCACUUGGUACCAUUCACUAUGGCAGGACCCUUGAUUUUAACGGUUUAACAGCAUUAGAACUAACUGGCACGGACAGGGUUGGCCUUCUCUCGGAGGUCUUUGCUGUGCUAGCUGACCUGCAAUGUGAUGUGGUAGAGGCUAAAGUUUGGACUCACAAUGGCCG
rnacentral:misc_RNA from 1 species